rnacentral:rRNA from 1 species
AUUGAACGCUGGCGGCAGGCCUAACACAUGCAAGUCGAACGAGUGGCGGACGGGUGAGUAAUGUCUGGGAAACUGCCUGAUGGAGGGGGAUAACUACUGGAAACGGUAGCUAAUACCGCAUACCAUCAGAUGUGCCCAGAUGGGAUUAGCUUGUUGGUGGGGUAACGGCUAACCCAGGCGACGAUCCCUAGCUGGGCUGAGAGGAUGACCAGCCACACGGGAACUGAGACACUGUCCAGACGCAUACGGGAGACAGCGGUGGAUAAUAUUGCACAAGGGGCGCAAGCCUGAUGCAGCCGUGCCGCGUGUAUGAAGAAGUCCUUCGGGUUGAAAGGUAGUUUCGGCGGGGAGGCGUUGCCCGCAGAAGAAGCACCGGCUAACUCCGUGCCAGCAGCCGCGGUAAUAG